rnacentral:rRNA from 1 species
GACGAACGCUGGCGGCGUGCUUAACACAUGCAAGUCGAACGGAAAGGCCCUGCUUGCAGGGUACUCGAGUGGCGAACGGGUGAGUAACACGUGGGUGAUCUGCCCUGCACUUCGGGAUAAGCCUGGGAAACUGGGUCUAAUACCGGAUAGGAGCCAUUUUUAGUGUGAUGGUUGGAAAGUUUUUUCGGUGUAGGAUGAGCUCGCGGCCUAUCAGCUUGUUGGUGGGGUAAUGGCCUACCAAGGCGGCGACGGGUAGCCGGCCUGAGAGGGUGGACGGCCACACUGGGACUGAGAGACGGCACAGACGCCUACGGGAGGCAGCAGUGGGGAAGCUUGCACAAGGGGCGCCAGCCUGAUGCAGCGACGCCGCGUGGGGGAUGACGGCUUUCGGGUUGUAAACGCCUUGCGCUAGGGACGAAGCUUUUUGUGACGGUACCUAGAGAAGAAGCACCGGCUAACUACGUG